AUACGUAUGUCGCAAGCGUUAUCCGGAAUUAUUGGGCGUAAAGCGAGUCUAGGCGGCUUGUUAGGUCAGAUGUGAAAAUGCGGGGCUCAACUCCGUAUUGCGUUUGAAACUGGCAGGCUAGAGUACUGGAGAGGUGGGCGGAACUACAAGUGUAGAGGUGAAAUUCGUAGAUAUUUGUAGGAAUGCCGAUAGUGAAGACAGCUCACUGGACAGAUACUGACGCUAAAGCUCGAAAGCGUGGGGAGCGAACAGGAUUAGAAACCCCGGUAGUCC
rnacentral:rRNA from 1 species